UGUAUCCAUAGAGUCAGCUAGCUAGCUACCACAACUUUUUUUAAGCCUGUAUUUGUUUACAGUUUGGCAAUAUGGCGCUAUUAAAAGUACGCCGAAUUAGCUAUUAGCGGUUCCUUUUUGAAACGUACACAAUGAUGUAGAGACAACCAUCACCGAAUUAUUUUGACAUUGAAGAAAAGUUGAAAACGUGAUGAUUCUCAGGCAAGUUCCGGAGCUACGGGGAGCGUCUUUUUUCCCUGCGAUUUCUAAGCGGAGUUACGGAUAUUUAUUCACCAUGGACAUCGGAGAUGAUGACAUCUUUGGAAAGUGUUUGAAUUCCCUGCAGGUGAAGACCUCUUCAUGGUUGAUGGGACUACAGGACCCCCGGCGUACCUGUAGACGUUGAUGGGCUCGGGAUUGGAGCUCCACACUCGGAGGCUCUCCUGGAUGACCUGCUGGAUUUUUGGGAGGUAGGACUCCAAGGCCUCGUGGCUGAACACUUUGGCAAGCACCUGGAGAGACAAAGGAGGAGUGUGCAGACAACGUAAUGGAAACACUUCAUGAAUCCAUGAAAAAGACGUCAAACUCUGAAGCAUACGCCGCUGCAAAGGUUAAAACUUCAGUGCGGGACAAAGGAAGCCCAACAGAAGUUAGUUUUUCAAACUUUCUCUUCUCGUGGUGGGACUGAACAUGAGGAUCCCGGACCCACAUCCGGAAGCAACUUGCUUGGCUUUUGUUUGACCCGUGGCCCUUCCAGGCCUCUACGCUCUCUCCCUAACGCCGAGGGAUCUGGACGAACAAAACUCCCCCUCGAAAGAGGCGCAAUUUUAAUCAGUUCUUAUCAACUUUCUUCACCCCCCCCCCCUUCUCCCCCGCGUCAGUCGAUGGUUGUAGAUUGUGCAGUCACAGUUGUUAUCAUGAAGACCAAAGUUUGUAAUUAGAGCAGGAGUUGAAAGUGUCCUCCCGGGACAGAUGACAUGUUUCUGUUCCGGUAAAAAGCUCUCCGUUAGCCAUACUAAUGAUAACAGGAGCCGAGGGGGAAGUAAGGUGAUGUUGUUAUGGGAACAAAGGUCAUGGUUCCCCAUUUUAAACUGACGGACAAGCGUGAUCCCGAUCGUUCCCUUAACCUUAACCAUGUUUUUUUUAUUACGGUCAGAUCAGAAAACGCUUCUUUGUGACAAGCGGCGAAUUCUGUCGUUUGAUGUGGAGGAUUUGUUUUGCAGAAUUCCCACAGAACCAACCAACAGUGUCACUUUACCAUUAAAACGUUGAGAGCAAGACUUUUCGGCCACUGAUGGUAAAAUAUCUUGACGCUGGUCCUUUCGUUUUAGCACCGUCCCCCGUCUUUCAGCCGUUGACAACUCAAGGUCGAGGAGGUGGCGUCUGGUUUCUGUAACGGAGCCUGUGCCUAAAACUGAGUGCGAGUAGGAAAUUGAGUCUUAUAAGAAAACAAUUUGGCAACCAUACAUAUAGGUAUAUAUCUAAAAAAUGUACUUUAUUAAAGAUGCCUUUCAGUAAAUGACAGGACUCAUACGCAUAUUUCACAAUACAUAUGCAAA